rnacentral:rRNA from 1 species
AUACGUAGGGGGCGAGCGUUGUCCGGAAUGAUUGGGCGUAAAGGGCGCGUAGGCGGCGCGGUAAGUCUGGAGUGAAAGUCCUGCUUUCAAGGUGGGAAUUGCUUUGGAUACUGCCGCGCUUGAGUGCAGGAGAGGUUAUCGGAAUUCCCGGUGUAGCGGGGAAAUGCGUAGAGAUCGGGAGGAACACCAGUGGCGAAGGCGGGUAACUGGACUGCAACUGACGCUGAGGCGCGAAAGUGUGGGGAGCAAACAGGAUUAGAUACCCUGGUAGUCCACACUGUAAACGAUGAAUGCUAGGUGUAAGAGGUAUCGACCCCUUUUGUGCCGGAGUCAACACAAUAAGCAUUCCGCCUGGGGAGUACGGCCGCAAGGUUGAAACUCAAAUGAAUUGACGGGG